UGGGGCGCCAGUAUUACUUCCUAAACAGGCUGUCAUGUUGAUGAGUGGAGCUGAAGAGCAUACAAGAGGGCCUUUACAUGUCAUGGAAGGACUGCAGAUGAAUAUAGGAAAGGAGAUCAUAAAGCUGCAGUUUUGAUCCAAAGUUGGUUUCGAGGAUGUCGAGUGAGGGCGUAUAUCAGGUACUUACAUCAAAAGAUGACGGUUAUACAGAAAUGGUGGAGAGGUUACUUGGGAAGAAAAUAUUUCCGACAAAUGGUUAAGACAGAAUAUUUUAAUAUGAAGAUGAAUUUCUACAAUGAAAUGGCUGUCAGGAUUCAGAAACGAUGGCGAGGCUAUCACACCCGGAAAGAGAAACAUAAUUAUUACGCAAGGAAGAAAUACCUCGAAGGAAUUUGCCGAAACAAUGAAAAUUUAAGGGAAAGAAUGGCGAUAAUGGCAGCGUCGAUGGAGGAAGAGAAGAGGAAGAUAGACCACGAAAGGGAAGAGCAGAAAAAGGAUUACCAGGCCCGAAAGAUGCAUUACCUCCUCAGCACGGAGCAGAUUCCAGGUGUGUACAAUUCACCAUUGAGAAAAUUCCCCGAUCCAAUGGAGUACCGGUUACAGAAAGCCAAGCCUUUGUCUCACCGAAAACCUCCAGUUAAGAAAGAUGCUACCGAAGAUCUCUCUAGCUGGUUAGCUUGUACUCGCCUCCAUUCUUUUCCUCGAUCACAAGCUCUGCCGCCCAUCGACAGAAAGAAAAUCCAGGGCCCCUUCCGUGAUAUUGCUGAAGUAUUGCAGCAACGCUACAAGCCUCUGGAGCCAACCUUGCGGGUGGCAACAUCAAUCAGCGCAGUAGAACGGGCCAGAGAGGAACUCAAGAGAGAAGAAUGGAGAAGCCAACUAAAUGACAACGUAUUUUUGCCAUUUUCAUCGUAUCACAAAAAUGAAAAGUACGAGCCAUUAAUUCACACUUCAACCAAGUAUGGCCCCAGACCAUAUGGUACUGAAAAUUUCCGAGAAGAGGAGCCUAAAAAAUGGGUAACUAGCAAGGGUUUCAAAACUGUGUUCCCUUCACUUCACCUCUUCGACAGAUUUGGAAAAGAAUAUUCAAAAGCUGGGCAAAUAGUGUGAAGUUCAGCACCUGAAGGACUGACUGAAAGGCAUCCAGAAAUCUGACAAUUAGAGAUGAUGCCUGGAUCCAGCUUGGGACCUAAGGAUGAAGUCAACAAUGCAAUCCACUUUCUGCCCAUCCCCCGAGCGGACAUAUACCGGAGUCUCGGAAACAGAUGGCGUGCCUUUAUCUCCAACUCAAUCCUUGUGAGGUAGGAAGAGCCAGAUGGAGCAGUGCCCUCAAACUUUGCAGAGUCCUUAAAAAGUUCAAUUUUCCUCUCCCUUCACCAAAGUGUAAUGUCAUUCAUUCCAAAUGCUCCACUUUCAAAUGAAGAGGAAGGAUUUAAUACGAAAAGAUCUACUCCUUACACUUUGGAUGUUUGCUUAAAUAAAAGAGCCUCAUAAACCAAACCACUCUUCUGUUGGAU